rnacentral:rRNA from 1 species
AUUGAACGCUGGCGGCAGGCUUAACACAUGCAAGUCGAGCGGAAACGAUGUAGCUUGCUACAGGCGUCGAGCGGCGGACGGGUGAGUAACGCGUAGGAAUCUGCCUAGUAGUGGGGGACAACAUGUGGAAACGCAUGCUAAUACCGCAUACGCCCUACGGGGGAAAGGAGGGGAUCUUCGGACCUUUCGCUAUUAGAUGAGCCUGCGUAAGAUUAGCUAGUUGGUAGGGUAAAGGUCUACCAAGGCGACGAUCUUUAACUGGUCUGAGAGGAUGGCCAGUCACACUGGGACUGAGACACGGCCCAGACUCCUACGGGAGGCAGCAGUGGGGAAUAUUGGACAAUGGGCGCAAGCCUGAUCCAGCCAUGCCGCGUGUGUGAAGAAGGCCUUAGGGUUGUAAAGCACUUUCAGGGGUGAGGAAGGGUGUUUGGUUAAUAUCCAAACAUUUUGACGUUAGCCCCAGAAGAAGCACCGGCUAACUCUGUG